rnacentral:misc_RNA from 1 species
GAUGAAGAACGCAGCGAAAUGCGAUAAGUAGUGUGAAUUGCAGAAUUCAGUGAAUCAUCGAAUCUUUGAACGCACAUUGCGCCCCUUGGUAUUCCAUGGGGCAUGCCUGUUCGAGCGUCAUUUGUACCUUCAAGCUUUGCUUGGUGUUGGGUGUUUGUCCAUUCUCUUGCAGAGGGACUCGCCUUAAAGUAAUUGGCAGCCAGUGUUUUGGUUUUGAAGCGCAGCACAAGUCGCGAUUCAACGCUAUACGCCAGCUUCCACAAGCCUUUUUCACUUUUGACCUCGGAUCAGGUAGAGAUACCCGCUGAACUUAAGCAUAUCAAUAAGCGGAGGA